rnacentral:rRNA from 1 species
UACGUAGGUGGCAAGCGUUGUCCGGAUUUAUUGGGCGUAAAGAGCUCGUAGGCGGUUUGUCGCGUCUGCCGUGAAAGUCCGGGGCUCAACUCCGGAUCUGCGGUGGGUACGGGCAGACUAGAGUGAUGUAGGGGAGACUGGAAUUCCUGGUGUAGCGGUGAAAUGCGCAGAUAUCAGGAGGAACACUAAUGGCGAAGGCAGCUCGCUGGGACGGUACUGACGCUGAGGCGCGAAAGCGUGGGGAGCAAACAGG